UUGGCCUCGGCGGGAUCUCUGCCCCGGGUGCGUCGCAGCCCCGGACCAAGGCGCCCGCCGGAGGACCAACCAAAACUCUUAUUGUAUACCCCCUCGCGGGUUUUUUUAUAAUCUGAGCCUUCUCGGCGCCUCUCGUAGGCGUUUCGAAAAUGAAUCAAAACUUUCAACAACGGAUCUCUUGGUUCUGGCAUCGAUGAAGAACGCAGCGAAAUGCGAUAAGUAAUGUGAAUUGCAGAAUUCAGUGAAUCAUCGAAUCUUUGAACGCACAUUGCGCCCGCCAGUAUUCUGGCGGGCAUGCCUGUCCGAGCGUCAUUUCAACCCUCGAACCCCUCCGGGGGGUCGGCGUUGGGGAUCGGCCCUGCCUUGGCGGUGGCCGUCUCCGAAAUACAGUGGCGGUCUCGCCGCAGCCUCUCCUGCGCAGUAGUUUGCACACUCGCAUCGGGAGCGCGGCGCGUCCACAGCCGUUAAACACCCAACUUCUGAAAUGUUGACCUCGGAUCAGGUAGGAAUACCCGCUGAACUUAAGCAUAUCAAUAAGGCGGAGGAA
rnacentral:rRNA from 1 species